GACGAACGCUGGCGGCGUGCCUAACACAUGCAAGUCGAACGCCGUGGCGAACGGGGGAGUAACGCGUAGGUAACUGCCUCAUAGCGGGGGGUAACUAUUGGAAACGAUAGCUAAUACCGCAAUGUUGGAGAUGGAUCUGCGUAGUAUUGGCUAGUUGUUGAGGUGAAGGCUCACCACGGCGACGAUACAUAGCCGACCUGAGAGGGUGAUCGGCCAAACUGGGAAGUAGACACGGCCCAGAAUCCUACGGGAGGCAGCAGUAGGGAAUCUUCGGAAAUGGACGGAAGUCUGAACGAGCAACGCCGCGUGAGAGAAGAAGGUUUUCGGAUCUUAAAGCUCUGUUGUUAGAGAAGCGGUACCUAACCAGGAAGGGACGGCUAACUACGUGCCAGCAGCCGCGGUAAUUC
rnacentral:rRNA from 1 species